CGCCCGCACCCCGCUGCCUGCGGCCCGGCGGCCGUGCUGCGCCGCCGACCGCCGCUCGUCAUCUCGGUCGGCUGGGGGCUGUUUUCCUCUGUGCUAGAAGAAGAAGAGAGGGUGAGGGAAAAAAAAAAGAAAAGGUCAAUGGGUCCAAUGAAAAAAUCGUGACUACUGAAAUGCGGGACCCACACGUAAGAAAUACAGUCAACUACGCUUAAACCGUUGUUUUGGGGUGAAGUGAGACAAUUGGACACAAAACGUGUUGUUUUAAGGAUAAAUUAGCAAAACCGAUUAUAAAACAAUACCAAACUAAAAGCCUAAAUAUCGACCACCACGAGCGCAAACAGUGCCAGCUCCGCCUCCCGCGACUCGCGACGAGACUCCAAGAACUCGACUAGGAUACAUCCACAGAGCUUUUAUUGCAGUUGCAUCGACUGUUUGUGGCGGUCGAUUGGUAAUGGUCAGAUCCAGCCCCAGUGUUCGGUUUGACGGACGAGCACCUUUCGCGGGCGGGAAUCGAUUGCGUUGUCAUGGCUUAGGCUUAUUUUAUAGGGCCUUUUUUUUUUACGAAACGACACAACGUGUCCUUAUAUUGCCUAGAAGGUCGAUCAAUCUGCUCUCGCCGGCGACUUGGGCCCCUUCGACCAGCAUUCGGCAGUGGUGGCUGGACAGGAAGGAGAUGUCUCGAGAGAGACAUGUCACGGCGCUUCCUCCCUCUUCUUGCUCUCGCCGUGGUCCGUCUGGAAGGAGAGGAAUGCCAGAGUUUUCCAGAGAAAGUUUUCCCCGCCUAGUGAUGUGGUGAGGGUGAUCUCGGAGGAGGCGGUGAUGUGGUGCACAGCUGUCAACAUUGUAUAGGGUCCUAUUGUAUAUCAAAAUAUAGUUGUUAUUGGUGGUUCAGAUUUGGGUGUUGGAUCAGGUUGCAAAGUGCA